rnacentral:rRNA from 1 species
GUAACGGCGAGUGAAGCGGCAACAGCUCAAAUUUGAAAUCUGGUCACCUUACGGAGGCCCGAGUUGUAAUUUGAAGAGGAUGCUUUUGGCGAGGUGCCUUCCGAGUGCCCUGGAACGGGACGCCACAGAGGGUGAGAGCCCCGUAUGGUUGGACACCGAGCCUAUGUAAAGCUCCUUCGACGAGUCGAGUAGUUUGGGAAUGCUGCUCAAAAUGGGAGGUAAACCCCUUCUAAAGCUAAAUAUUGGCCAGAGACCGAUAGCGCACAAGUAGAGUGAUCGAAAGAUGAAAAGCACUUUGAAAAGAGAGUUAAACAGCACGUGAAAUUGUUGAAAGGGAAGCGCUUGCGACCAGACUUGCGCCCGUCGGAUCAACCGUCGCUUGUCGGCGGCGCACUCCGGCGGGCUCAGGCCAGCAUCAGUUUUCCCGGGGGGAGAAAGGCGGUGGGAAUGUAGCUCCUAGGAGUGUUAUAGCCCGCCGCGUAAUACCCUCGGGGGGACUGAGGACCGCGC